rnacentral:rRNA from 1 species
CCUACGGGAGGCAGCAGUGAGGAAUAUUGGGCAAUGGACGAGAGUCUGAACCAGCCAAGUAGCGUGAAGGAUGACUGCCCUAUGGGUUGUAACCUUCUUUUAUAUGGGAAUAAAAUGUUCCACGUGCGGGAUUGUGUAUGUACCAUAUGAAUAAGGAACGGCUAACUCCGUGCCAGCAGCCGCGGUAAUACGGAGGAUCCGAGCGUUAUCCGGAUUUGUUGGGUGUAAAGGGAGCGUAGGUGGAUUGUUAAGUCAGUUGUGAAAGUUUGCGGCUCAACCGUAAAAUUGCAGUUGAAACUGGCAGUCUUGAGUACAGUAGAGGUGAGCGGAAUUCGUGGUGUAGCGGUGAAAUGCUUAGAUAUCACGAAGAACUCCAGUGGCGAAGGCAGUUCACUGGACUGCAACUGACGCUGAGGCGCGAAAGUGUGGGUAUCAAACAGGAUUAGAUACCCGAGUAGUC